UUGACGGGGGCCCGCACAAGCGGUGGAGCAUGUGGUUUAAUUCGAUGCAACGCGAAGAACCUUACCAGGUCUUGACAUCCCACGAAUCCUUCUGAAAGGAAGGAGUGCCUUCGGGAGCGUGGAGACAGGUGGUGCAUGGUUGUCGUCAGCUCGUGUCGUGAGAUGUUGGGUUAAGUCCCGCAACGAGCGCAACCCUUGCUAUUAGUUGCUAACAGGUUAAGCUGAGCACUCUAAUGGGACUGCCGGUGACAAGCAGGAGGAAGGUGGGGAUGACGUCAAAUCAUCAUGCCCUUUAUGACCUGGGCUACACACGUGCUACAAUGGAUGGUACAGAGAGCAGCGAGACCGUGAGGUGGAGCGAAUCUCUUAAAGCCAUUCUCAGUUCGGAUUGGAGUCUGCAACUCGACUCCAUGAAGUCGGAAUCGCUAGUAAUCGCGAAUCAGAACGUCGCGGUGAAUGCGUUCCCGGGCCUU
rnacentral:rRNA from 1 species